GGGAUUUUUUUUUUUUUUUUUUUUUGCUGGGGACCUUUAAAAAGGGCUCUAGGUAGUUGUGAGUAGCUGGUUAAUCCAGAGCCACGUGGGACUUGCCAGCCCAAACAGACCCUGGGGCUGUGAGACUUUGAAACCUUAUGGGGUGAGAAAGGACUGAGGUCUGGGGAAGAGUUUGAAUCAAACAGUACUGGCUGAGUCCACUGGAACCUUUUGAGCAGAAGGGGAUGCUGUGAUGGGCUGCCCUGGAGCUCUGCCAGCUACUCCAGGGGAGGGACCUGCUCUGUGAAGACUUUCCUCCUUCUUUCUGUCAGAGGCAUCUUGAUAGGGAAGCUGAAGCAUGGGGGAAUAGCUUUUCUUUGUGGAACAACCCUGCUGUGUGCUUCUUUGUCCCUAUCCUUGCCUCUCCAUAGAAGACAGGCUGUGUGUGGACCACGUGCGUCUGUCGGACCACGGGAACUCUCCUGCUGUUUUAACUGUUUGUGGCUAAGAGUCCCUGAAAAAUCUUCAGCAGAAACAUGGAUGAAGUGCUCCUGGUGCAGUCUUUUACUCUCCUGUGUAGCUUUUUAUGAUAAAACAACUGUUUUAAGAAAGUAUUGGAAAGAGAGUUGGAAAAGGACUUUUCGGGAAAAGAGAAGGAAAUGAAAAAGUGGCAAGCAGAUAUUUUUAUUAUCUUUGAGGACAAGGAAAGAUUUAAAUAGAAGAUUUGCUAACAUCUUAUUUGAUGCAAAACUUGGUGUUUUUCUCAAUAUCUGGAACCCUGCUUUUCUGUUGGAAACCUUCCAGCUGAAGCAGCUCAUUUUGUGAUUUACAUCUCCUAUUUUAUCUCCACUUUGGCUGCCGGACAGAGCAUCCAUGGACACCCAUCCAUGGGUGCUUCAGCAUGAUUUCCAUCUCCUCAGCCAUCAGUGACUUAGAGUGACAGACGUCAGUCCAGCAGAGCUCAGUGGGGAUUACUGGGAGUGACUGAUCCCAGCCAUCCUUCUCCAGCAGGAUUGACACUGCCUUUAGUGCUCUCCCUGACAAAUUAUCAGUCACCUCCAGAUGACAGGGAUUGACUACCUCCUCAACCAUAGCAGAGCAAUGAGGCAAAGCUUUUAUUCCUACAUGUCACAUUUCCAUGGAUAAACGUAGGAAUGGAGCCUUGCAUGGUCACACUUGCCAAGUGUCUUUAGUAAUGGAUAUGGAUUUUAAACUGGAAUAGUGGUGGGUGACAACGUGGCUUGGGGGUAGAGGAAGGCUCUUGGGCUAUUUUCCCUGCUUAUUUAUUUCCAAUUAAAUAAAAAUCCCAUCUGU
rnacentral:lncRNA from 1 species